rnacentral:rRNA from 1 species
UGCGUAGGUGGUUUCGUAUGUCGGUUGUGAAAGCCCACGGCUCAACUGUGGAAAUGCAACCGAAACUGCGGGGCUAGAGUGCAGGAGGGGAGAGCGGAAUUCUUGGUGUAGCGGUGAAAUGCGUUGAUAUCAAGAAGAACACCGGUGGCGAAGGCGGCUCUCUGGAAUGCUACUGACGCUGAGGCACGAAAGCAUGGGGAGCAAACAGGAUUAGAUACCCUGGUAGUCC